CGCUGUUUUGUACUGUUUUUGUACUUGUUUUGAUUAUUAUUAUUUCUUGAUUGUAUGUAAAUGCUGCAGAUUAUAAAUAAAGGUUUAUAAAAAUAAUUAAAAAAAUACAAAUAAAAAAAAACUCUCCCACCUCUAUGCACCUGGGAAUAGGCCCUUUUCCACCGCGACCAUGAACCUGUCCCGGGGGCGGGCUGUGGUGUCGAACGCUGAUUGGUUGAACGCAGUUGGGGGCGGUCCUAAAACUUAUUUUUCAAACACACGACCGCCAUUACAAUAUGCUCGACGACUUGUUUAUUUCCAGAGUAUUUCUAUUACACUUAACUUGACAACGGAGCGAAAGAAGAACGAGAGGAGCUUUCGAAAUGUGGGGCAUCUUUGUGCUGAAGAACGAACGCAGUGUUUUUACUCAGCCGUAGUCUUUUACGCACUUUAUUGUUGUUUAUUAGUUUUUCCAAGCUUCAUUUCAAUACCCAAAGCUACGAGAAGCGGCGACCUCAGCUGUUUACUACUCUGACUUUGUUGGAUAAAUGUAGGGCAAAAAGGAGGCUGCACACGACUGGAACUAAGGGAAAUAGUGAAUGACAGCAAGGUUGCCAUGAGAUUGAAGUCUGAAUGAACAUGAUGACGUCAGCUUGUCAGUGUGACGUUCCCACAGCAGGCUGCCUGAGCGGUGGGAGCCUUUAAUUCAUCAAAGUGGGAAGGAGCUGAGAGACGGGAAAGGGAAAGAAAUGACAGGCAGAGCCUCUGGGUGAGCAGACAAAAGCUAUCCAUCAUAAUCCUGCAGCCCGAUGAAGCAAUGCACCUCUUGGCCUUUUGCUGCUCCCGUGUGAGAGACAUCCGUGACCCCGAACAUCCACUGACCGCCUGUGGUGACGUUGGCUCUUGCGCACCGUGCGCUGCUUAAAAAAAAACCCACUUUAUUUAUGUUGCAUGUCUUUCUAGUCUGCACACUGCACAACUAUAAGUAUUUUUCCGUUCCGCAUGCGUGCAGCCAUAGUUUAACUCACCAUAGAUCUUGAUUUAGCCACAAAAAAGGUUUCUUCAAAUCUUAAAAAGUAACAGUGUAUUUAAAUAAUUACGCACAAAAAAAAUGUUGGGUUAAAAAAUAACCCAAUUUUAACCCCGAUUCAGAAAAGGACGAACCCCUUUAUUUUGGUUAUUCUAACUCAACAUUUUGGGUUGAUUUUUUUCAACCCAACAUUUGCGUUGAAUUAUUAAACCCAAAAAGUUGAGUUAUGCCAACUAAAUGUUGGGUUA